rnacentral:tRNA from 1 species
GCUUGAAAAGCUCAGUUGGUAGAGCAAUCGGCUGUUAACCGAUCGGUCGUAGGUUCGAGUCCUACUUUAAGCGCCA